rnacentral:rRNA from 1 species
UUAAAAGAUGGCUUCUCGCUAUCACUUCUGGAUGGACCUGCGGUGCAUUAGCUUGUUGGUGGGGUAACGGCCUACCAAGGCGAUGAUGCAUAGCCGAGUUGAGAGACUGAUCGGCCACAAUGGGACUGAGACACGGCCCAUACUCCUACGGGAGGCAGCAGUAGGGAAUCUUCCACAAUGGGCGCAAGCCUGAUGGAGCAACACCGCGUGAGUGAAGAAGGGUUUCGGCUCGUAAAGCUCUGUUGUUAAAGAAGAACACGUAUGAGAGUAACUGUUCAUACGUUGACGGUAUUUAACCAGAAAGUCACGGCUAACUACGUGCCAGCAGCCGCGGUAAUACGUAGGUGGCAAGCGUUAUCCGGAUUUAUUGGGCGUAAAGAGAGUGCAGGCGGUUUUCUAAGUCUGAUGUGAAAGCCUUCGGCUUAACCGGAGAAGUGCAUCGGAAACUGGAUAACUUGAGUGCAGAAGAGGGUAGUGGAACUCCAUGUGUAGCGGUGGAAUGCGUAGAUAUAUGGAAGAACACCAGUGGCGAAGGCGGCUACCUGGUCUGCAACUGACGCUGAGACUCGAAAGCAUGGGUAGCGAACAGGAUUAGAUACCCUGGUAGUCCAUGCCGUAAACGAUGAGUGCUAGGUGUUGGAGGGUUUCCGCCCUUCAGUGCCGGAGCUAACGCAUUAAGCACUCCGCCUGGGGAGUACGACCGCAAGGUUGAAACUCAAAGGAAUUGACGGGGGCCCGCACAAGCGGUGGAGCAUGUGGUUUAAUUCGAAGCUACGCGAAGAACCUUACCAGGUCUUGACAUCUUGCGCCAACCCUAGAGAUAGGGCGUUUCCUUCGGGAACGCAAUGACAGGUGGUGCAUGGUCGUCGUCAGC